GAUGAAGAACGUAGCGAAAUGCGAUAAGUAGUGUGAAUUGCAGAAUUCAGUGAAUCAUCGAAUAUUUGAACGCACAUUGCGCCCCUUGGUAUUCCAUGGGGCAUGCCUGUUCGAGCGUCAUUUGUACCUUCAAGCUUUGCUUGGUGUUGGGUGUUUGUCCAUUCUCUUGCAGAGGGACUCGCCUUAAAGUAAUUGGCAGCCAGUGUUUUGGUUUUGAAGCGCAGCACAAGUCGCGAUUCAACGCUAUACGCCAGCUUCCACAAGCCUUUUUCACUUUUGACCUCGGAUCAGGUAGGGAUACCCGCUGAACUUAAGCAUAUCAAUAAGCGGAGGA
rnacentral:misc_RNA from 1 species